UACGUAGGGUGCGAGCGUUACUCGGAAUUACUGGGCGUAAAGCGUGCGCAGGCGGUUUUGUAAGCCAGGUGUGAAAUCCCCGGGCUUAACCUGGGAAUGGCAUUUGGGACUGCAAGGCUCGAGUGCGGCAGAGGAGACUGGAAUUCCUGGUGUAGCAGUGAAAUGCGUAGAUAUCUGGAGGAACACCGGUGGCGAAGGCGGCAUCCUGGACCGGUAUUGACGCUGAGGCGCGAAAGCUAGGGGAGCAAACGGG
rnacentral:rRNA from 1 species